CAGGGACGGCGCACUUCCGCCUUCCGCUCCCGCUUCCAGGCCCUGCCCAGAGGGGCGCGUACACCGCACCAUUAGGGCAGUACCCACUGGCAAGAAGUCAGAUUCUGUCCUAGAUGCUCUUGGUUUGAGCCCCCAUUUGUCCUUGAAGAGGAAGGACCUGUAACAACUAAAGCUAUGGGUUCCCAGGGAAGCCAGACAGAGAUAACAGCAGUUGGAGAGAAAAAUCUCUAGCAUCUCCAUUUCCUUCAGCCUUCUGGAAUCAGAUUCAUUCCUGGCACUUGAGAAGGUCUAACGAGUGAGAGAUGAGUUGUGGCCGUCUGGUACUUCUGGCAAGGUGCCAUUGGAUCGUGAAGAAAACACUGGAUUCCUCCUUAUUUUGGACCUUGACAUUGAAGUGUUUGCAGAAACCUAGAGGAAGCUAGGAUGAAUCAUGGUCAGUUUGUCUUCGGUUGUGUUAAAUUCUGAUAUUUGUGUCUCUUCCUUUGAUAAACUUGCAAGGC